CCAGAAGGUUGCUUGCCAACCGCCAUAAAAACAAAAGAAGAAGAAGAAGAAGAUUUCACUGCAAAGAAAACCAUCGACGUCCAUAAAGAUUCAGAAAUUGGAGACAGUGGAGGAAUUACUCGACCUUGACGAGUUGAUAAAAACUCAACCAAGCAAGAAAGAUUUGCUGACAGCCAGGCUCUCAAAAAUUGGUGGAUAUGACUUAAAGAGCUGUUUAAGCAGCAUCAUGGACAGGGUCGCGGGGGGCGCUGGCGCCUAUCUCAGCUACAAUCGGGCGGAAGGCGGGGUACACCCUGGACAAGUCGCCACCUCAUCGCAGGGCCAACACAGAUAGACAGACAACACUCACACUCACAUUCACACACUAGGGCCAAUUUAGUGUUGCCAAUCAACCUUUUUCCAGGUGCAUGUCUUUGGAGGUGGGAGGAAGCCGGAGUACCCGGAGGGAACCCACGCAUUCACGGGGAGAACAUGCAAACUCCACACAGAAAGAUCCCGAGCCUGGAUUUGAACCCAGGACUGCAGGACCUUCGUAUUGUGAGGCAGACGCACUAACCCCUCUGCCACCGUGAAGCCCGGUAAGUGCUGCUAUUUGAGCUAUUUUAAGAACAGACCAGCGGGCUACUCAUCUGGUCCGCGGGCACCACGUUGGUGACCCCUGGUGUAUAUAUAUAUAUAUAUAUGUGUAUAUGUGUGGUGGGCGUGGCCUGCGCACCUGCAGCGAAACGGGGUUUGGCAGAACUGGCUUAGAGAUUAGCGACAGGUGAGUGGAUGACACAGCUGAAAGUGUUUGUCUAAACACCUGUCGCUCUGUUAAAGGCAGCAGUCGGGAAGGAGAAGUUGUGGGAGUUGGAGCGAGAACGAGAUCGAGAUUGACAGAUGCCAGAGACAAUUGCUGAAAAGCAUAACAAAGACGAUUUAUCGAAAAAAAUAAACAUUGUUGAGAACCAGGAAGAA